rnacentral:rRNA from 1 species
AUUGAACGCUGGCGGCAGGCCUAACACAUGCAAGUCGAGCGAGCGGCGGACGGGUGAGUAAUGUCUGGGAAACUGCCUGAUGGAGGGGGAUAACUACUGGAAACGGUAGCUAAUACCGCAUACCAUCAGAUGUGCCAAGCGGGGAUUAGCUAGUAGGUGGGGUAACGGUUCACCUAGGCGACGAUCCCUAGCUGGUCUGAGAGGAUGACCAGCCACACUGGAACGGAGACACGGUCCAGACGCCUACGGGAGGCAGCAGUGGGGAAUAUGGCACAAUGGGCGUAAGCCUGAGGCAGCCAUGCCGCGUGUAUGAAGAAGGCCUUCGGGUUGUAAAGUACUUUCAGCUGGGAGGCGUGACCGCCAGAAGAAGCACCGGCUAACUCCGGGCCAGCAGCCGCGGUAAUUC